UACGAAGGGGGCUAGCGUUGUUCGGAUUUACUGGGCGUAAAGCGCACGUAGGCGGAUUGUUAAGUCAGGGGGUGAAAUCCUGGAGCUCAACUCCAGAACUGCCUUUGAUACUGGCAAUCUCGAGUCCGGAAGAGGUGAGUGGAACUCCUAGUGUAGAGGUGGAAUUCGUAGAUAUUAGGAAGAACACCAGUGGCGAAGGCGGACUCACUGGUCCGGUACUGACGCUGAGGUGCGAAAAGCGUGGGGAGCAAACAGGG
rnacentral:rRNA from 1 species